rnacentral:sRNA from 1 species
UUUUUGCGUGAGGGAUAGAAGCGAUAUCCUUUUAUGGCGGUGUUCGCCAUAAAAGAUUUAGCGAAUAGCCCGGCCUUUG